UCCCGGCUAGCUCAGCGGUAAAGAAUCUGCCUUCAAUGCAGGAGACCCAGGUUCUAUCCCUGGGUCAUGAA
rnacentral:tRNA from 1 species